CGGACGGGUGAGUAAUGUAUGGGGAUCUGCCUGAUGGCGGGGGAUAACUACUGGAAACGGUAGCUAAUACCGCAUAACGUCGCAAGACCAAAGCGGGGGACCUCCGGGCCUCGCGCCAUCAGAUGAACCCAUAUGGGAUUAGCUAGUAGGUAAGGUAACGGCUUACCUAGGCGACGAUCCCUAGCUGGUCUGAGAGGAUGAUCAGCCACACUGGGACUGAGACACGGCCCAG
rnacentral:rRNA from 1 species